CCAGUCCUCGGCCAUCCUCACCCAGCCACUACCGGCCAGCGAGCCGGAGGGCGACCCACGCUACGUUUGCCUGUUCCUCCGUGAUUAUGAUGAUCGGUGAAACUGAUGAUGAAGUCCAGAGUUUACCUCUGAGAUAUAGUAAUUAAAGGCAAAUAUAACAUCAAAAGACAAAUAUAAUGUUAGUGACGUCCUCCAUUUAAUUAAUUUUAUUAUUUUAAGGAUGGAGAAAAAACAUGGCUGCCCAUCUACUGUGGCGGUAGCGCCUCGCCAAUCAGAAGAUGAAAAUGAUGAGUCGAAGAGGAGACGUAUUCAAAUUACAGCAACGUGUUCAACCUUUCCAUCAAAGCACGAAGAGCAUGAAAAUGUUAAGCAUUCGAAGUCACCGAGUCAAUUAUUAGAAGGCUCUACAAAUGAAGAAAAUAAUAUGUUACUGGUAAAAAAAAUAUUUUUAUGAUUUUAAAUGUUGUAGGUACAACAGGGUGUUGCAAAAGUGUCAUUCUUAACAAA